rnacentral:rRNA from 1 species
AACGUAGGGGGCAAGCGUUGCCCGGAUUCACUGGGCGUAAAGCGGGGUGUAGGCGGUUCUUUAAGUCAGAUGUGAAAUCCUGCGGCUCAACCGCGGAACUGCAUCUGAUACUGGGGAACUUGAGGACGGUAGAGGUCGGUGGAAUCCCCGGUGUACCGGUGAAAUGGGCAGAUAUCGGGGGGAACACCAGUGGCGAAGGCGGCCGACUGGGCCGAUCCUGACGCUGAGACCCGAAAGCCAGGGUAGCGAACCGG